rnacentral:rRNA from 1 species
AGAGUUUGAUCAUGGCUCAGGAUGAACGCUGGCGGCGUGCCUAAUACAUGCAAGUCGAACGCGCAGCGAGAGGUGCUUGCACCUUUCAAGCGAGUGGCGAACGGGUGAGUAACACGUGGAUAACCUGCCUCAAGGCUGGGGAUAACAUUUGGAAACAGAUGCUAAUACCGAAUAAAACUUAGUAUCGCAUGAUAUAAAGUUAAAAGGCGCUACGGCGUCACCUAGAGAUGGAUCCGCGGUGCAUUAGUUAGUUGGUGGGGUAAAGGCUUACCAAGACAAUGAUGCAUAGCCGAGUUGAGAGACUGAUCGGCCACAUUGGGACUGAGACACGGCCCAAACUCCUACGGGAGGCUGCAGUAGGGAAUCUUCCACAAUGGGCGCAAGCCUGAUGGAGCAACGCCGCGUGUGUGAUGAAGGCUUUCGGGUCGUAAAGCACUGUUGUAUGGGAAGAAAUGCUAAAAUAGGGAAUGAUUUUAGUUUGACGGUACCAUACCAGAAAGGGACGGCUAAAUACGUGCCAGCAGCCGCGGUAAUACGUAUGUCCCGAGCGUUAUCCGGAUUUAUUGGGCGUAAAGCGAGCGCAGACGGUUGAUUAAGUCUGAUGUGAAAGCCCGGA